rnacentral:rRNA from 1 species
GACGAACGCUGGCGGCGUGCUUAGCACAUGCAAGUCGAACGGAAAGGCCCUGCUUUUGUGGGGUGCUCGAGUGGCGAACGGGUGAGUAACACGUGAGUAACCUGCCCUUGACUUUGGGAUAACUUCAGGAAACUGGGGCUAAUACCGGAGAGGAGCUCCUGCUGCAUGGUGGGGGUUGGAAAGUUUCGGCGGUGGGGGAUGGACUCGCGGCUUAUCAGCUUGUUGGUGGGGUAGUGGCUUACCAAGGCUUUGACGGGUAGCCGGCCUGAGAGGGUGACCGGCCACAUUGGGACUGAGAUACGGCCCAGACUCCUACGGGAGGCAGCAGUGGGGAAUAUUGCACAAUGGGCGGAAGCCUGAUGCAGCAACGCCGCGUGCGGGAUGACGGCCUUCGGGUUGUAAACCGCUUUCGCCUGUGACGAAGCGUGAGUGACGGUAAUGGGUAAAGAAGCACCGGCUAACUACGUG